CCUCGACGGCUUGUUUACCAUUUACGCUGUGCGGUAUUGCUUGUGUUUUUGUUAAUUCGAAAAGGUCGUACAAGUGAUUGAAGAGUUGGAAAUUCGUUUUUUACUUAGUUCUACGUUUUAAAAACUAUUAUUUGUGUGUAUUAUAUAUGUGGAGAAUAGUGAACAAAGACAAUAUUAUUGUUUAAGGCAAAAUAAUCUUGUGAGACUUUCAAGGUGCAUGUAGUAUAUGUCCAAAAAUCAAAAUGCCUGGUACACGUUGUGCUGUGUAUGGUUGUGGUAAUACCUAUAAAACAAGGCAGCAAGAACAUGAAUAUUUUAUAUUUCAUCGGUUUCCCAAAGCUAAAGAUCUUGUUUCCCAAACUAUGAGAAAAGAAUGGAUAUUACGAUGCAAACGGGAAGAUAAAUUUAACCCUGAUACUAGCUACAUCUGCUCAGUUCAUUUCACAGAAAAGGAUUAUGAAAGAGACUUACAGAAUGAAUUAUUAGGUUUACCACUACGAAAAAUAUUGAAAAAAACCGCUGUUCCUACUUUGGGAUUGUAUUCAAAAAAAUCAACAAGUGAAGCUAGUAGUUCAA